AGAAUAUGCUAUCUUAUUGGUCUUUCCAUCUGUCUAUUGUUCUUAUAAGAAUUUAUUCAGUACAGUUCCAUUUAUUUUUUGUUUUAUCUUAAAUAUGCUUUAAAUUAUAAUAUCAUACUACAGCUUCAGUCAUCAUCCAGCAUUACCCAGGUUAAGAUAAAAUACAUGUUACCAAAAACACUUGUAUCAAUAAACAAAAAGCAAUUUCAUUUUAUAUUUCUUACGUCUAACUGGUUAUGUUGUACGGUAACUAGGUCAGGUUCUGAGUCUUACAUUCACGAGAGUUUUUACCGAACAUUUUAUAAUUCGUAUAAUAUGUUUACCUUUUAAAGUAUGCUUCAAAACGCUUCACACGUAUUGUCUAGCCACGGGCAAAGUCAACUAUAUUAUAUUAUUGCAUUAAUUUAUUAUCAAAUUAUUAUUUUCCG